rnacentral:rRNA from 1 species
GUCUACAGCCAUACCAUCCUGAAUGAGCCUGAGCUUGUCUGAUCUCAGAAGAUAAGCAGGGUCGGGCCUGGUUAGUACUUUUUUUUGAACAAGCCUACAGCACCUGCCUGGGGAUACCGGGUGCUGUAGGCU